AAAAACUGAGCUAAACUGAAAGUAGAAGAUUUGGACUUGUGUGCAGACGCAAAAACAAUACUCGUAUGGAGAUGGGCGCAGACGCAAAAACAAUACUUAUGAUAUAGUAUGAGGAUGGAAACCUGACCACAUUGUACAGAAAAUAAAAGAUGUGGACACAGUGGUGCGCGGGCGGCCGUCAGACAGUUUUCCUUCUCGUGCAAGUGCUGGUCCUAAAGUUUACAUGCUGCGGAAGACCAAAUAUAUUAUUCAUCGUAUUGGACGAUUUUCGGCCUAUUAUGAGGAGUUAUGGAAACCAGUUGAUUAUUGCUCCGAACAUGGAUAACUUGGCUAGGAACUCGGUAGUCUUUAACAGGGCAUACACACAGCAAGCUCUAUGUGGACCCAGCAGGACCUCCUUUUUAACAAGUCGUCGGCCAGACACCACAAAACUUUGGGAUGUACAUUAUUACUGGCGAAAGUCGGCUGGCAACUACACAACACUUCCACAGUAUUUUAAGGAGCAUGGCUAUCACACAGAGUCCUUUGGGAAAAUAUUUCACCCAGGAAUAGUUUCUGGAAAGACAACAGAUUAUCCCUACAGCUGGUCAGUGCCCCCCUACUUACCGUCCACUCAGCAGUACAAAAUGAAAAAGGUCAGUGUAUUAUACAUUGUACUCAGUUAAUUAUCGGUAUUAUUGCACUUCCAAAAGUUAUCAUCUGCAAAGACCUUUAGCUGCUGAUGAUAGCUAAGUUUCACUAGCUUUGUUAUGAUAGGUUUGUCCUGGCGCAAGAGGCAAGCUACAAAUGAAUGUCGUUUGUCCAGUCAAUGUGUCCACUCAACCAGAGCACACCCUGCCAGAUAUCCAGUCUACCCAGCAUGCUGUGCAGUUUAUUGAAAAACUGUCCAAAGAGAGUCAGCCAUUUUUUCUGGCAUUGGGUUACCACAAACCACAUAUUCCAUUUAAAUUUCCUCAGGAGUAUCUGAAGCUCUAUCCUCUUGAUGAAAUCAAGCUUGCAAAGUUUCAUACCAAACCUCGGGGAUUACCAUCUGUAGCCUGGAAUCCCUGGACAGACCUGAGAGAAAGAGACGACGUCAAGAGUCUCAAUGUCAGCUUUCCAUUUGGUCCUAUUCCAGAGCACUUUCAGAAACUGAUGAUCCAGAGUUACUAUGCCUCUGUUAGCUAUGUAGAUAAUCUUCUGGGGGAAGUGUUUGCUGCAUUAGAAAAAAAAGGAAUGUCUGGAAACACCAUUACUUUAUUGACGGGAGAUCAUGGUUGGGCCCUUGGUGAAAAUCAGGAAUGGUCCAAAUUCAGUAACUUUGAAGUGACUACUAGGGUGCCUUUGUUAGUGUCUGUUCCAGGAUUGACUGGGAAACCUCUCUCUGGUACUCGGAAAUAUUCUUCCUCAGAUAAAGACUGGCCGGAUAGAAGUAUGGUCCAAGACAAUCAGUACAAGAUCACAAAUGGUCUCGUUGAACUUGUGGACAUUUUCCCAUCUCUUGUGGAACUUGCGGGACUUCCAAUUCUGAAGACCUGUCCACAGACUUCUUUUAACAUUACUAUCUGUACAGAGGGCUGUAGUUUUGUGCCUUUGAUAAAAAAUGCUACAUCACCUCAUACUGUGAUUAAGAACUGGAAGUCUGCAGUGUUUAGUCAAUACCCUCGUCCAAGUCUACAGCCGGAGACAGACAGUGACCAGCCACGAGCAGUGGACAGUAGAGUCAUGGGGUACUCCAUCAGAACUGACAGUCACAGAUACACAGAGUGGAUUCAGUUUUACCCAAAUAAUUUCACCGUCAACUGGAAUAAUGUGUAUGCCAGAGAACUGUAUUCUCAAGUCACAGAUUCAGAAGACCAUCACAAUUUGGCUUCAGACCCUCGGUAUCUGGACAUUGUACAUAAACUCGCUGUAAAACUCCGGCAAGGCUGGAGAGCAGCCUUGCCAUUACUCAAUCAGACUUGAUUAGGAUAUACAUUAUAAUAAAUCUUUACGAUGC
rnacentral:misc_RNA from 1 species